UACGGAGGAUGCGAGCGUUAUCCGGAUUUAUUGGGUUUGAAGGGUGCGUAGGCGGGAUGCCAAGUCAGCGGUAAAAAUGCGGUGCUCAACGCCGUCGAGCCGUUGAAACUGGCGUUCUUGAGUGGGCGAGAAGUAUGCGGAAUGCGUGGUGUAGCGGUGAAAUGCAUAGAUAUCACGCAGAACUCCGAUUGCGAAGGCAGCAUACCGGCGCCCUACUGACGCUGAGGCACGAAAGCGUGGGUAUCGAACAGG
rnacentral:rRNA from 1 species